rnacentral:rRNA from 1 species
AGCAUAUCAAUAAGCGGAGGAAAAGAAACUAACAAGGAUUCCCUUAGUAACUGCGAGUGAAGAGGGAAAAGCUCAAAUUUAAAAUCUGGCAGUGUUUCACUGUCCGAGUUGUAACCUAGAGAAGUGUAACCUGUGCUGGACCGUGUAUAAGUUUCCUGGAAUGGAGCAUCAUAGAGGGUGAGAAUCCCGUCUUUGACAUGGACUACCAGUGCAUUGUGGUUGUGCUCUCAACGAGUCGAGUUGUUUGGGAAUGCAGCUCUAAAUGGGUGGUAAAUUCCAUCUAAAGCUAAAUAUUGGCGAGAGACCGAUAGCGAACAAGUACCGUGAGGGAAAGAUGAAAAGAACUUUGGAAAGAGAGUUAAACAGUAUGUGAAAUUGUUGAAAGGGAAACGUUUGAAGUCAGUCGCGUUAGCUGGGGAUCAGCCUGACAUUGUUGGGUGCACUUCCUGGUUGAUGGGCCAACAUCAGUUUUGACUGCCAGAAAAAGGCCAAGGGAAUGUGGCACCUUUGGGUGUGUUAUAGCCUUUGGUCAUAUAUGGUGGUUGGGACUGAGGAACGCAGUGUGCCGAAAGGCCGGGUUUCGACCACGUUCACACUGAGGAUGUUGGCAUAAUGGCUUUAAGCGACCCGUCUUGAAACACGGACCAAGGAGUCUAACAUGCAUGCGAGUGUUUGGGUGGAAAACCCUUACGCGUAAUGAAAGUGAAAGUUGAGAUCCCUGUCGUGGGGAGCAUCGACGCCCGGACCAGAACUUUUGUGACGGAUCUGCGGUAGAGCACGUAUGUUGGGACCCGAAAGAUGGUGAACUAUGCCUGAAUAGGGUGAAGCCAGAGGAAACUCUGGUGGAGGCUCGUAGCGAUUCUGACGUGCAAAUCGAUCGUCAAAUUUGGGUAUAGGGGCGAAAGACUAAUCGAACCAUCUAGUAGCUG